UAGUGCAGGAAAUACAGCAGAGCAAUUUUCUCUCACACGUGACGUUUUCAAGCCUUCUCCUCGCUAAGAAGUAACUUAAAAAUAAAUGUUCUUAUGUUUUUCAGCAAGGGAAAAUGGACAGUAAGAGGUGCCUGUCUCUGCAGUCAUCUGCAAGUCCGCUCACACACUGCCACAAAGCCUCCCAUAUUUUCCAGACCCGGCAUGCUGCACGCUGAUCAGAGAGCCUUUCAACGCUGAACAACUCCACGUUCCCGGCAUCUGAAGGGACGUAAGUGUAUCUACACUAUUUUCUCUUUGUUUUUAGCGUUAGCUCUAACAAACAACAUUUUAAAAGACACUUUCCAGAGCCAAACACCUUCCUUACUGAUGGUACUGAACCAGCACUUCCUGGUGCAGAACACCUCCUGCUCCAGGCCCUGCUCCAGGGAUGCUCCUAGGGUCGUCUGGGACGCUGACAAUGAGGGCAAAUUGUGCAUUUUAUCCUUUUGGGCUCCAUUGUUGCUCCCUUAUCAGCUUGCUACAGCUCCUCACGCUGCUGUCUCUGUUCCCUGCAACUGCAUCCUCCUGACAGUCCAAGAUUUCCGUCCUGCUCAUUUUGUUUCCAAGAGAGAGCUGACAGCCCUUGGUGUCCCUCCACUUUAAUCUGCUUUCUGGCUGAUGUUAGCUGCUUACUGCCCCAUCCUCAUCAAAAUGCACAAGGAACACUCGAUCCUGGAUAGAAAUAGAUUCCCUAGUUCUACUCUGAUACCUUUUCUCCCUGAAAUACCCCUGAAAGGACUGGAUUGCUCCCCCCAGCGGGAAGCAGCCCUGAGACCCUCUGCAAGGGGGGCUGCGAUGCAGCGUGACGAAUCCAAGAACUCUGCCGCAGCAGCAGCGAGCCAGGCCCCAGGAAAUCCUCUUCCAGCGCCUGGCCCGCAUCAGCAGACAGGCUCGCUAUGAUUUUGGAUAUAAGUUUGGACGCCUAUUCCGGACAGACUCUCCCCAGAAAUACUGCCAGAUAAACUUUUUCCCAGCCGAGCCCUGCUCCCCACUUUCAGAUGGUUCCUCCCAGGCCAGAUGCCAUAUUAUCUGGAGCGACUUUUCCCUCCCAGCCUUGUUUUCCUCCUACUCCUGAGCCCUUUGUCUGUCUGCCAAGUGGAACAGCCCUGCCAGGCAGACAGCUGCUCAGCAUUGCUGCGCGGGUGCUGCCCUAUGGGCCGAGGAGCUGCUUCCAGGCUCGUUCCAUCUUUGAGGGGGAUGCUGUGCCUGAGAAACGGCGUGUACAGGAAGGAGGGAAAAACCAGCACCUGUAAAGGUGUCAAAAGAGACUGGAAAUGUUUAAGAUAAAGAGGCCUGAAUGCUACUUGGGUUUGCCUUAGAGACAGUGUGGGGAACAAGGCUGCUCUCUCCUGCUCUGGCUGGAGGUCUCCCUGGAGGACCACAGCCCGGCAAUGAGAACUUUCCAAGCCCUCAGCCACAAAAGCGCAGGCCUGGAAUCUCUCUAAUGAGAGUUUUCCUCUUUGCCGUUUGCCGGGCGAGCAAGCACCAGGCACCAAUAUCAAAACCAGCCAGAUUCCAAUGAAAACCAGCAAAGAAAAUAAGAACAGAAAGGAAAUCGGUCUGCUGGUUAGGAACAGGCAAAUAAAGGCACGGAGCCCUGCAGCCAGCAGGACAGCCCUGCUGGGAGGGAGAGGCCGGGAGCUGCGCCGAGGCUGUGGCCACGCGGCGUUCCUCCUUCGCUGCUCGCAGGGACAGCUCACCGCCUAGCCCCACGCUGCAGAGCAUCCCGCAUCGUCUUCCCAGACAGGCAAGGGCUCCACCCUGCCUGAUGCCUUCAGUUUGCCUGCGAGGACUCUCCCUUCUUGCCCUGCGGGCUGGACUCCUGCUUCCCUCCCACUCCCGAGCCCUUGAAGGCCGUGCCAAGGCGGGCGGCGCGGCCCAGGGCGCAGUCAGCUGGCACCGCUGCCCUGCCUCUGCCUCCCGCCCUGUGGGCCCCGGGCGGCAGCACCCCGCCCUUUGGCUGGGGCAGACGAGGUUUGGAGACUUGCUUUCAUCCCAGCCCUGUCUGGGAAAGCUCCUGAACCUGCUCGGCAGCUGAGAGUGGAGGGAUCCACAGCAAAGCUGGGCGCAGGGCGCCUGAAGUGCUUCCCGUACGCGGGCUGCGACCAGCGGUGUCAGACACCCACGUGCCCAAAUCGAGUGGUGCGCAGUAAGUGGGCACGUGACAGCUGCGAGGUCUGCAGGAUCUCGUUACCUUCUGGAACCAUGCACUGGGGUUAAGCUUUUGGCUUUUGCGGCCUCACAGAAAACCUUCCCAGUGCAAACCAACUGGCAGCAGACCAGUGAGAUCUUCCUGAAACAAAUGAUGGAGGGACACCAACUCCCCUGUCCCUCACAGCCUCAUUGCGACAUCAAGCUUCGAGCCUGAUGGAGCAUCCCCAAUUGUUUUGUUAUUGGUCAUUUGAGCAGAGGAAGUGGAAGAGAGAGUAGAAGCAAAGCCCAGGGCUGGAAAAUGGAAAUGACUGCGAGGAAAGGAAUGUGGAGCUUCACAACAACUUGGGGAGAGGAGAGGAGAGCAGGGAGAAGGGGGAAGGAGGAAAACCCGAGGGUAAAUCGCAGCAACACCAUUUCAGGUUUUUGCAGAGCAUGGUCUGAAGUCAGUGAUGGGCUGUGGUCUCCAGGCAGGCUGUGUGAUACUGCCUGCAAACCUCUUCUCCCCAUACAAAAGCAGAGAAAGGCUCAGGUUCCCCCAUGGUCUCCCUGGAGCAGAGAUGCUGUGUGUUAUCCCCAUGGAGCCACCAGCCAGCCUGGCAGCAGCUGUGCCACCUCAGCGGGGGCUCUCCAUGCACAGAGAGCAGGAGGGACAAUCCUGGAUGUGGAGGAUAUACAGCCCUGGCAGAUGCUCGUCAGAGGAGUGAGCAUCGCCUGUAAUUUAAAUAGUGCAGGCUGAGGCUCGGAGACCUGACAGCGGUCCCACACGGCAUGGCUGAGGCAAGGGCCCGGUGGAAAGCCCCCAAGGCCCUGAAGGAGCCACUGCCCUCCUGCUGCUGCCCAGAAGAGGGAGGCCACGGCAUCCUCCCCUCACCAGGAGCACGCUGGCCUGGGACAGGCUUUUCUCCUGCCAGGGAAGGGAGGAAAUACCAGCGUUGGCUCAAGUCCGCUCUGAGAAUCGGCAAAUGGCCAGUGGCAUGUGUGUGAUUCGGCUGCUGUCCUGCAGCCCCGAGGCCCAAGCUGUGGAUGGAGGAAUUGAGUCCCCUUCCAAAACCAGCAGGUAGGAGCUGUCACCAAGAAAGGCCCUGUCCAAGAGGUGCAAGCACGGCGCAGCGCUGGGCGCUCCCGCAGCCUGGCCUCUUGCACUGAGGGCAGUGCCGGCAGGUUGUGGAGGCAGCGGCAGGCCCAGAUCUGCACUCUGGUUUUGUUGCUCACAUCUACGUUUUUAUUCACUCCAACUAACUUCAGGGGAGAUCUUACCUAGAAGUAAUUAAAUUGCUUGCACCCUGGUUUAUGACUUAACUUGGCCACUCUGGCUAAGCUGAUACAGAUCUCUGUUUCGUGCCCUGAAAUUCACUGCGAAUUCAGCAGGCACAAUCAAUUCUCCUGGCUUAUAAAUGUGUAACGGGACCUCACGUAAGGAACAAAUAAACUAGACCUGGACUUCCAAGGGUAGAGGCCAUCAGCUCACUGGCUGCCUUUCUGGCAUUUUUAAGGCGUAUUAAAUAUAUAUAUAUAUAAACAAACACACACAAACAAACAAAUAAAAAACAACCACUCUCUUAAGACAUUUCUCCCUUACACACCAAGGUCUACUGCUUUAUGAAAAUUACUAAGUUCUGAGGUUUGGGUAUCUUCAUUUAUUGCUGAAAUCUUGGCAUCAUCACUUUUCUGGAUUUGGGGAAGAAGAGAAUAAAAAUCAAUAUAAAAUGAUUCACAAUGACAGGAUUAGAUUAGCCUGUUUAUCCCAAACCAGCACUUUGGACAUAGGAAAGAUACUUCCGUGCUAUGCACAGAAUAUAAAGGAGUUGAUACUUCCCAAUCUUGAUACAGCUUUCAUAAACUCUUCUCCCCUUUUUAAGAUUACUGCAGUUAGCAUUCAAAGAAUCCCGUGAAUCUGCUCUUAACUACCAGUCAUGCCAAUGUAAUGAACCAGUGAAACACCCUCUAUCGUUUAAGUGGUUAAGUGCCAGGUGCCUAAACAGAUAGCAACAAAGAUAUUUGGCUUAUUACAGCACAACUUCUGCUACUCUGAAGGAUCCUAAGAUGGAGCAACAAUUCAUAUGUUUAAUGCUCGCAGAAGUUUUGCUGAAAGGCAUUCCAGUGUAAACAACCUAUGUGGGUAAGUUCCACAACAGAAAAUUAAAGGGAAAAAAAAAAGUAGUAGUCAGUUUAAUUUAUUUAACAUUUUUUUUACCAAAAAAACCUCAAUACAUAAUUUGUGUUCCACAGUUUGUCAUUUUUGUGAAUAUAAAUCAUUCUCAACACUAUUUUAUUGCCAGGCACUCACAAUUCUGCCACUUUGUAUGAGAACGGUUGGCCUGUACAGGUAUUGUCUGCUCAAAUGGGGAACGCGGGGACAUGCGGUGUAACACUGUGCUGUAGGGUGAAGUUUUUAAGGUUGGCAAACCUUUCCCAUUAGGAUAGGCAACAACAAUAACAAAAAUAACCAUACACAAUUCAACUUAAAUGUUACAUGUCUUUGGAAUUUUGUCACGUUGGAUUAUUAAAGCUGCAGACUGAAGUAGCAUUAAUAGGGAAGUCCUGCUUUAAAAAAAUAGCGUAUCCUUACUGCAGAGGUAGUCUCACAGCAGAAGUUAUUGCAGGGGUGCAAUACAGUCCCUCCACAGGAUUGCCAAAAGAUGCUGAGGCAAAGAACACCCACCUCAAAUAAAAUUCAGUAUGCUGUGGGACUUUAUGUAAGUAAUUAAUAAAUCAAAUGACCUGGCAAAUAAAAAUGCCAUCAUGUGCCUGCAACGAAUCUGGCAUUUUACUGAAGUCAACCUCUCCAAAUCAGAAAGCAGAUAGGUAAAUAUGCUUGCAGAAACGUCUCUUUAUCCUUCCCAGUGCAAAUCAAACAUAGGAAAACCAUUCCUCUGCAGGUGACCUGUCUAAUUAUGCCCUACGAGCAACUAGGUUCGGAAACACUAGCCAAACUUAGUUCUUAUAAAGCUUAACACAUGUUGAUUCAGCUACUUCACCACUGGAGGAGUUUUUUUUUUAAAUACACCAUUUAAAUCUGGAUGUAUUUCUAUGUUGGUUAAGCUAACCGCCUAAGUGCAUCGAAUCCUUUCCUUUCAGUCUGUCCUCCCAGCACAGCUACUUUUUUUUUUUUUUUUCAGGAAAGAAAUGCCAGUCUUUUACACGCGCAGCGUGGAAUUCUGUGAAAACCUGCAGUGUCAGUUCGUAACACAGCAGACUGAAAUUCUGUUUGCUAGUUUUGGCUUCAACUUAAACCUGCCCAGCUCCUAUUCUGCAAGCUUAUCAUAGCCUCAAACUUUGUCCCCUCAAAAAAUGGUUUGGGACCAAUUAAGACAUAGUGAAGCAAAGCUGAUUAAGAAAGUUCUUACUAGAGGUUUUUACUUAUCAGCCAAUUCAGCAUAAGCUUUUAGAGGUAAUUUGCCCUCGGCUGUUCUAAUUGCAGCUGAGACACUCCUAUUUCCAAGUCUUUUCUUCUCUCCUUCAUGUUUUUCUCCUCAAAAAGAGAAUUGUUGCCUCUCAAACUGGGUGUACAACCUAAGCAGCAAAGGAGGCCAACACUGCUCUCGGCUGUCUGAAGCGUCAGCCCCGGAGGUUUCCCAUGUCUCAUUCUGCACUCAUGCAUGUUUGUGGUUGCAUUACUUCAUUACUUCUGCCAACUUUGUCAGCCUUUACCAUGAGACUCUGCGACACAGAACCAUGCAGCUACCAAAACGCUUCUUUCUCAGCAUUCAUUUUUAAGCCUGUAUUGACCAUAGAAACUACCAGAAGUAUUUUGCUGCUAUUUGCAGCUGUACGCUUCUUACAAUGACUCUCCAGUCAAUGGACUUUGCAAACCACUUAAUUCUGGAAAAAACUGUAUGGGCACAGUCCAUCCCAGCAUGAGCAAAAGGGGAAGGACAAAGCUGGUGUGACAGCUGCUGGAAGCUUAAUAAGCUAAAUUAGAAACAGACAAUUCAAUGAAAUUCUCAUCCAUCUCUAACUUAGAUCCAAAGAUACGUGUUUUUAUCUGGCAAUUAAAAAUGUGCACCAUUUUCCAAAGGUAUAGAAAUUCCAUUACCUCUGUUUCGCACAUUUACGCAUUACAGGAAGCUCAAAACUUUCCCAGGAAACAAUCUACAAGAGCAGCAUCUUUUCUACUGCCAAAUUAUCCCUCUUUUCUAGAGUGCUUUUAAGACAGUUAAUAUUUAAUAUGGAUAUAGUAAUCAACCUUUUACAUGUUAGGCUAGUGGGCAGGUUCUGUUGCUGAUGUAUUUAAUUACCUAGAACUCUUCUUGUAGGAGCUCACUGAGUGCAUAAUUUGAGAUACCAGUAGGUGGAAGAAAACUGAAAUUUACCUAGGACUGAAGCUUAAGAUCUGAAAUGCACUGAAAAGACUAAAGAAAAACAAAAUAUGUUUCUUUCUGAUACAGGCACUAAAAGCGAAUAGUACAAGUCAACUGGAAGGUAGUGGGAACCAAUUUCUUGCAAAAAAAUGCAUUAUACACUAAAAAUAUCAAAUAAAAACACACAGCAUGAAAAGGACCGUGGAAGACAGACAACUGAUAGUUUUGAAAAAAAUGAUGACAACGUAUAAACAUCUACAAUGUAUGCAGACAUCCCUUGGAAGUUUUAUAUAUGCUAUAUAUAUUUCAAAGUACACACAAAUGGCCUAUUUGGCAAGUUGAGAAAAUAGGAAUACAUCUUGGGAAGGUCAUGAAGAAAAAAAACACACAAAGGAAAACAAGAGUUAUUUACAUUCAUUAAUUCAGUAGCCUUUAACAUCUCUAUAUACAUACAUAUUCUUUCUAUAUAUGUACAAACUGCAAUAGGAUCUGAACGAAGCUUAUUCCAAACGCAAAAGAAAAAUACAAAAACCCCUUGAUAAUUCACUUGACAAAUGUUUACAGGUUGCAGAGCUUUCUUCAUUUACAAAGAAAAUACCACACAUCGAGUAGACAACUAGCAUCUUUGGGGAACUUUAAGUCCUUACGAGAAGUGUAUAUUCCUAACGCACCACACAGCAAUUGGAAAAAAUCCGAAAACUUGCUGUGCAGAGUGGGUUUUUAGGGGUUUAUAACUGCAUUUGCUGUGUCAGACACAUCUUAAGUAUGAAACUGGUUAACAAGUCAAUAUUCAGUAGCUGUCAAGGGACGUUUAAAAAAAAGAAAACCCAAGUUUUUUUAUCCCUUCAUUUCUCAAGUCAACUUAAAGAAAUAUCCUCCCCUUCUACAGCAUGCUUCCAGAACUCACCCAGUACAGGAAUUACCACCAGCAUCUUACAUUUAGGCUUGCCUCUGUUAUCAGAAGCAUCUAUCCUUUAUACAUUUAACAUCCAUUUCAGAUGCUGAUUUUUGUGAAACAGUUCUGAUGUUCCAGAAGUAACAAAGAUAUAGAUACAAUUCUAGCCUUAUAAUUUAUAUGACGUGACAAUUGGUCUCUCCUUUUUCCUCCCUUUGAGGAUGCUUUUCUUACAGGCAGUGCUGCAAGAUGUUAACACAUAGCUGUCCUUAUCUCAUCCAUAGUGCUAUUCAUAAUCCUUUUCUUCCCCAAGUCUUACCAGCAGUUAAUACAAAGACAUAUUAGCAAAUAACAAUUUAAAAGAUCUAGCAUGAUUUUUUAAGAGAAUGUUUCUGUAGCUUGAAGACCAUCCUUCUUUGAUGUUAACCUUUGGGAUGUUGCAACACUCUGGACUGUGGAUGCAGCUGUGUUAGUAACAGAAUGACAGAGCCAAGGAAUUGAUAGUGGCAAGUGGGAGAGAACAUGCAAAGAAGAGCAAGUAGGGGGAACCCGUUACUGGAAUAGGAACAAUUCUUACAGCUCUUUUAGUAUGGUUUUAUUUUUUCCUCCAGGUAACACAAGCCUAUGGAAAAUUUAAGAGGGAUGAAUGAACAGUAUACACCUUCAAAUCCUGAAAUUAAGUGGUGGUGUUUAGUUAUCAAUACAGGUAACAUCCAGUUAGUUGUUGCUCAACCCAACCACCAAACUUAACAUAAUCGGGUGAGAAGAGCACUCAGGAGCUGAAGCGUACUUAAAUAACCACUCAUUACAAGAAUUGCUAUUUCAUAGAAUCAGAGAAUAGUUUGGGUUGGAGGUUGGAAGGGGCCUUUAAAGAUCUAGUCCACCCCGCUGCUGCCAGCAGGGACAUCUUGUGAAUUUACUACUCCAUUUUACUGAGGAUUAAGAUGGAAAAUACCAUGUCACCCUCAGAGUACAGAAGUUAUUUCUACAUUGAUUAAAAAAACAACUGAAGUCCACAUACACUGCUUGCUGUUACUAGCAAUUUGGUUCACUAUCUGUUGCAAUAGUAAUCUGUCAACAUACUUCUCAAAAUCCCAUUGCUUUUCCUGGAAUGGAUGCCAAAUACAUCCAAUGGUGGGUACAUAACACAUGAACAUCCUCCCCCACACCCUGUCUGUGGUCUUGAGUUUUCCAAUGCAUAAUCAGCUUCUACUGAUAUCACAGCAUUCAGGCAAGCUUCCCUUCGCUACCAGAGGA